AGGCUCCGUAUCUUGUGUGGCGUUACGUCGCGACUCAAGACGGCGUGAUGAGAAACUACCCAGGGAUACGACUGACGGAUGACUACGAUUACAAGCUUAGACCAUGGUAUCAUCGAACAGUUGCACAGAAGUUACUUAAUGUUGUGUCGGCCCCGUAUGAAGACUCUUGGGGUGCGGGGAAGAUUAUUUCUCUAACAAAGACAGUAUCUACGAGAGGUGCAACACAUGAAAAGAAGAUUGAAGCAAUUUUAGUUGUAUUGUGAUAGACAACAGUGGGUUCCUUGUUAUGCACCCACAUUUCAUAGAAACAAAAUCCUUAAAGGGGCAGGUUCACAUCGCCUAUCUGGAGGGAAGGAUUUCUCGUUCUCUAAUAAAGAAAGGAAUAAUGUACAGACAACCGUGUAGAGACACGGGAAACAAAAAGGACCAAUUCACUUACAGGGUAAAAUUAGGAGGGACUGAGUUGAAUGGGAUAGUUGAUUCAGAAGAAGGAUACCAACUUCGUCCUGUGUCUGGCUCCAACGUGUUCCUAAUACUAAAACAAAAACACAAAAACGAUGAAGACAAAUGCUGUAAUGUAGAGUAUUUUAGAGAUCCAAGCUCAGUACAGUGUGGCGCUGGACAAUGUACCUGCCUCUGUUAUACGGAUCUAUCGUUCACCGAAUGUAAAAAUCAAUAUGAAAUAAUGGGUGGUUUUGUCCCCUGUAACUCCCAGUUACCAACUUUGAGGUCAGUUAGUACACCUGAGGAGGACCUGGUCUCAAAUCUACCAACGUGUUUUCCCACCAACUGUGCAUGUCGAAAAACGGAAAGAGAGUGUUUCCGUACAUCAGGGUGCUCUUGGUGUACAAGUGAUACACACGGGAACCUGGUCGACGGAUUCUGUGACCUGAAGGAGUUGUGUCCCUACCAACAGUGUCUAAAGGAUGAGUGCAGUGGAAAAUGUUGUGGAUCUGAGUGCAAUAGCCCUCCACCCCCACCCGAGCCAGGGUUUUAUAUUGGGGUAUCUGUAGGUGCAGGGCUUUUUGUCAUAGUUCUGAUCAUCGUCGUAGUUCUCAUCAUACGAAAACAACGAAAUAGAGGAACAGAUGACACAUACCUUGACCCAACUUUCGACAACCAAAUAUGUAAAGACAAGGACGACUACAACACCAUGCCAAAUUACUAUGUUGCAGAUUUGAGUGCUCAUUCAGAAGAGAGUAUUAACACUAACACAAGCUAGUAUUUAGAAAAGACUUGGGUUUUAAAUUCUUUAAAAUAUUCAGUUUGCUUUCAAUGCCACAAAUCAAAGGAAUCCGUUGUGCAAUAGCAUUUUAUUUCAAUUAUGUUUGGCUUUAACUUCAUAAGAAUGUCUUGGUUACUGGACUUUUUGGGUUGAUCUUCAAAUAAGGGGCAACCCCACCCCCAUCAAAGUUGAUAUUACGUAUUGAAAAUUGAUACAAUUGAUUAAGAUGGUUGUACAUGCAGACGAGAACUUCAUGAAACCAAUUACAGAAAUUUUUUCACCAUGCUACAAAAGUAUGUUAUACGCUUUUGGAUGGAAAAAUAAUACUCAGGUCCCUUAAUGUUUAUCGUUUAAAAUGAUUUAAAAUAAAAAAGUAGCCUCUGUGUAUUGAAGACAACAUACUGCGAUAUUUCUUCGGAAAUGUGGAUUUUUAAUUAAAUGACAAUCAUGUG
rnacentral:misc_RNA from 1 species